GAUGAACGCUGGCGGCGUGCCUAAUACAUGCAAGUCGAGCGGACAGACGCGGCUCUUGCUCCUCUGACGUUAGCGGCGGGCGGGUGAGUCACACGUGGAUAGCCUACCUAUAAGACUGAGAUAACUUCGGGAAACCGGAGCUAAUACCGGAUGAUAUAUUGAACCGCAUGGUUCAAUAGUGAAAGACGGUUUUGCUGUCACUUCUAGAUAGAUCCGCGCCGGAUUAGUUAGGUGGUACGGUAACGGCUUCUCAAGGCAGCGAUGCGUUGCCGACCUGAGAGGGGGAUCGGCGACAGUGGAGGUGAACCACGGUCCAGACUCUGACGGGAGGCAGCAGUAGGGAAUCGUCGCAAAUGGGGGAAAGCCUGACGGAGCAACGCAGGGUGAGUGAUGAAGGUCCUCGGAUCGGAAAACUCUGUUAUUAGGGAAGAACACAUGUGUAAGUAACUAUGCACGUCUUGACGGUACCUAAACAGAAAGCAACGGCUAACUACGUG
rnacentral:rRNA from 1 species